UCCAAGCAGAGCUAGGGAGCAGGGGACAAGGCCUUCCCACUGUGAUUGAGAGAGAUGCUGUCCGACUCCAAAUCCCCGCGCCACUCUGACACGAGGCUGCGUAUAAGGCAGCUUCUCACUGUCCUUCCAUUUCUCGUUUUACCUCAUUUGGUUAAACCGCACAAGCUCAGUGCUUGGAACUUCCGUUUUCUUAUCUUGAACAUCAUGUGCUGUUCCAGCUCCAGCCAGCCACCCAGGAAGGAAGCAUCCUGUUCCUUUUAAACAGAGGGCCCGGCCGGCCACAUGGCCACGCUGUUGACAAGCUCUGAUCCACACUCUGCAAUGUGACUUUGCAGCUUUUGACUGGUUUCAUGGCUUGCUUCUGGCCGAGAGAAUGAUUCUUUGCUGAUAGCGUCCCGGUUCUGAGCCCAGACCCCACCACACUUCCACUCUUUCUCCUGGAAGUCGGGCACACAGUCGGCACACAGCAGCCCAGCCCAGCCCAGCCCAGCCUGCUGGAGGAUGAGGGGCCACGUGAAACAGAGAUGAGCUGCCCCAGCAGAGACCAUCCCAUACCAGCCAGCCUCCUGAAGAUGCUUGAAAGGGUCCAGAUGAGCUGAGCCUGGCCCAGAUUAGCAGAACCACCAAGCUGAUCUGCUGAUCAGCGAGCAAAAAUAAAUGGUACUUGUUUUAAUCCACCAAGUUUGGGGGGUGAUUGUCACAUAGUAAUUAGCAAUGAAAACAAUGACUAAGUAAUGCUAGCAUUCCAAACCAAGUUUCUUUACUCCAAAAUCCUUUGUCUUUUAACGUCUGAUUUCUAGUGACACACUCCCAUGUUCCACAUUUUACUCACUAACAUCAUCUUCUCCAAUUCCACUUUUCUCUUUCCCGUAGGUUCUAGUAGCAGACAUUCCUGAUUGCUGGCAACGGAUUUGGGAAUCUCAGUUGAAAAAGCCAGCAAUGGUGGCUGCAAUUCCUCCAUUGGCCAUUGGCCAGGAGUGAAUGCGUGACCCAUUUCUGAUGGUGAGGUAGAAGGCUGAGCCACCUGGAGGGCUGUGGGGAAAGAUUUCCUUUUUCUGGAGGACAGAAACACCAGAACAUACAACCUUUUUCUGAUUUUUCUUGCUGCCCACCAUCUUGCAACAAUGGAGGAGGCCUACUUGAGGCUGAAGGUAACUGAGGACGGCAGAGAACAGACACCAAGGUCACCCGGAUAGCUCAGACACCGAGACAGAGCCAUGCUUGGGAUCCAUAGUGUGUUUCCUUUGAAUUUUCCCAUUUGUUUCAGCGAGUUUGAUUUUUUUUUUUUUUCUUUUUACUGGUAGCCAAAAGCAUCCUAAUGGGUAGAGUUCCAAUCAUCAGAUAAAAGGAUCCAGCCAUCUGGUUGUUGAAUCCUUUAUUCCUACAAAAACCAAAGUAAAAGUUCAGAGGACACUGAAGCCGAUUCCCAGGAGGCAGACCUCAAUUUGUGGGAGCCCUGUAUUUCUGACCCAUAUCUGCUCCUUUUGGCUGACUUUAGCAGUAAGCAGCGGCCUUGGGACUCAAAGCAGGAUGACUGCAGGAUGCGGGUAAAGCAGGAAGACUUUGGGAAGUUCUGGGGAGCAUGGCUCAAUGUGCGGGCCAGAGAUCUGAGUACACAACAGAUGUUCCACGCAUGUGUGCUCUUGGGGGCGUUCUCCCUUCCACUGGUCCCAACUUUUCUUCCCCAUCCCUGGACUCCAGGAAGCACAUGGUAUGUGCCUUUAUUCAGAGAUGACCGUCAAAACAUUGAGCAACUGCUAUGCUCAGAUGCAGACCAAACAAAACAGAGGGCCACUGCAGUGCUGGGGCAGGGGUUUGGAGGCCCCUGUUUGGGGAUCAUGGGGAAGUUGGGGCCACUGGGUGGGAAGCAGGUCCUUGAGGUGGGGUCAGGACAGAAAAGACAGAAGAUGGAUUCUGUGGGGCAAGUGGGUGGGCAGUGAGGACAGCAUGUGUUUACCUGCCUGGAGUUAGUUGCUGAAAUUUUAACAACUUGUUUGGCCAUACUGAGAGGCAUACUAGACAAUUCUAUUCUAAUACAUAUUCUUUUCUAUGUGCCUGUGUUUGCUCUGCUAGCUUGUGGACCCCAGAGGCCAGAGGCACUGUGAUACCCACUGAUUUGCAUAUCCCCAGCACACAGGCCAUCUCAACACAGUUGGGUGAAUUGAACAGAGUCAACAAUAUAAAUCCCCAAGACCCAUUCUCUUCAUCUAGUCCAGAUUCUGAAUAAAGAAGAAUCUGACUGGUCACAGCCAUUUUCCUCUGAAACAAUUAUUUCUUUGGAGCAGAGUUAUGGGGAGUUAAGGUGACCUCUGACGGUCCGACCUCCUUCGCCCUGAGAUAGCUCAAGAUCAAACUGUCUCACCGAGGAGAGCAGAUGGCAGAGGGAGCUGGGGGGAGAGGGCAGCCCCCUGUGUCUUGCAGGCUGUGGAGCACGCUGUGCCUCCGUCAUCAUUAGUGAUUCAAUAGUUCUCAUUUGACUGAGAAAGAGUGCGAAACCCUGCUGCAUACAACCUUGUCCUGGGAACUCCUCGAAAAAGCCAGGAAUCCCAGGACGUGGACACUGUCUGGUUCUUGAGGGCACUGCUGUGUCCUAUUCACCUUUCUUUUCCCCAACACCAAUCCUGGCAGGGGCUCCAGGGCCAGCUGCUAGGAGCCUGAGUGAGGGAAUGAAUGAAUGAGUGAAUGAAUGAAUGGGGGCACCCUCCUUUACAAGUAGUUUUGAAAUGAAGACAUGAAAUGAACUUUGGAGUCAUAGUAAUUUGGGUUCCCAUCCAGGUUUUGCCACUUAAAGGCUAUUGAAUUCGGGCAAACUCCUUAGUUUAGAUAAAUUUCUGUUUCUUGCGUACAAAUAGAUAUAAUAAAACCAACACCAACAGCUCACAACUCCUGUAAAGUGCCCAGUAUAACACCCAACAGUGCCUAAUGAAUUGUAGCUACUCCCCUUCUAUCAUCAUUUUCAUUUUUUUCUUCCUUUCACUUUCCUUGUUUUAAUAUUAUUAUUAUUAUCAUUAUUACUAUUAUUCUUAAACUCACUACCCAGAGAUACUCUUUGAAUGUAAUAGAACUGCCUGGUUUGAGGUUUGUUUCCACCCCCCUCCCCCGCCACCUAAAUAAUAUCUGGAUAAAUCAGCAUAAAAUUGUCUCUCUAAACAGUCUUUGCUGUCCAUUUAUGGCCAUUUCACUUGCAUCCACUAAGGGGGAAGAGCUAUUGGAAACAAGCCUAAGAAAUCACGUAAUGUCUAAAUAGAGCGAGUACCUACUUCCGGCGAUCUGCCUCCUAAUUUUCACCGGGCACUUAUGGUGUGCCAGGCACAGUGCAGAGCUCCUUACUGUUCUUAUCUCUCUCCUAAUCCCUAUCACAACCAGGGAAGUGGGUAUCAAGGUAAUCUUCAAUUUACAGAUGAGGAAAGCGAGGCUCAGAGAGGUUGAAUGAGGAGGUCAAGGGGAUGAGCGCGACAGAGCCAGCAUCAUGAGCAUGCUGGUUGGCCCCCACCUGCCAUUCCUUCCUCCCCUUGGGUUUUCAGCCAUCAGCCACACCCCUAACUCCAAUGAAUGACUCUAAUUGGUUUAAGCCAAUUCUGGAAGUCUUAGCCUUUUCGGACAGUGAUUGGCUCAAAUAAACCAGAAUGUAGC